GGGCCGGAGGAGGGACGCGCCGGAGCGGGACCGACGGGACCGAGCGAGCGACCGACGCGCCACCCGCCGACGCCUCAGCCGCUUGGGGCCCGCACGGACCCUCUACUUCAAUUAUUUACUGGCAAGAUGAGCAGGAUUACCAUGAAAAGUCCAGAUGGACUGAGGAAAUCCUACACUGAUUCUCCAAACUUGGCAGCUGACUGCAUGGAGGGCUCAUGAUGAAGAAACCUCUUUUGCCAUCCUGAGGAUUCUCUGAUUCAUAUUCGCCUAGAUGUGCUGGAAACAGUACUGGACCAAGGUGCAAACUUGAGUCUAGUGAGGUACUAAUGGGCUGAAGUUUUUCUGAGCAUCACUUUCCUCAUCUGUAUAAUGAGGGGUUGGCCAAGGAAACCCCUAAGGUUAUCUUCCAGCUGACUUUCCAAUUGGUGAACCCUUUGGAAAAGGGGUGCAGCUUGCUUCUGGUCUUCAUCCUCAAGUAUGCUGUGCUUGGACAGGGGCCAAAACUAAUUCCCCCACUCACCAUUUGCCAAGCAUAACUACAACAGUACCUGGCACAUAGUGGAUGCUUAUUAAAUAUUUAUUGCAGGAAUGAGUAAAUAUAACUAACUGAUCAUAAGGUAAAAUAGUCUUCAUUGGAACAAGGCUCCAGAUAGUUGGGCAGGGCUGGGAGCUGAGACUGCUGCAGUCCUGCCAGCUGAGAGAACUCUGACAAGGCACUGAUCUGGGUGGCUUUAUUAGGAUGUCUGACAGCUUCAGAGGUGGCCACAUUUCUUUUCCUUUAAACAUGUCUAAUUUGGCCGGGCGCAGUGGCUCACGCCUGUAAUCCCAACACUUUGGGAAGCCUAGGUGGGUGGAUCACUCGAGGUCAGGAGUUCGAGAUCAGCCUGACCAAUAUGGUGAAACCCCGCUUUACUAAAAAUACAAGAAAUUAGCAGGGUGUGGUGGCGGGUGCCUGUAGUCCCAGCUACUUGGGAGGCUGAGGCAGGAGCAUCGCCUGAACUCAGGAGACGGAGGUUGCAGUGAGCUGAGAUCACACCACUGUACUCCAGCAUGGGUGACAGUGAGACUCCAUCUCAAAAAAAAAAAAA
rnacentral:sRNA from 1 species